rnacentral:snoRNA from 1 species
GUGAUGAACUUACGCCGCCGCACAGACAAGUGAAGAGGGGAUAGAGACUGA